rnacentral:rRNA from 1 species
UACGGAGGGAGCUAGCGUUGUUCGGAAUUACUGGGCGUAAAGCGCACGUAGGCGGCUUUGUAAGUUAGAGGUGAAAGCCCGGGGCUCAACCCCGGAAUUGCCUUUAAGACUGCAUCGCUUGAAUCCGGGAGAGGUAAGUGGAAUUCCGAGUGUAGAGGUGAAAUUCGUAGAUAUUCGGAAGAACACCAGUGGCGAAGGCGGCUCACUGGACCGGCAUUGACGCUGAGGUGCGAAAGCGUGGGGAGCAAACAGG